rnacentral:rRNA from 1 species
UACGUAGGGUGCGAGCGUUAAUCGGAAUUACUGGGCGUAAAGCGUGCGCAGGCGGUUUCGUAAGACAGAUGUGAAAUCCCCGGGCUUAACCUGGGAACUGCAUUUGUGACUGCGAGACUAGAGUGUAGCAGAGGGGGGUAGAAUUCCACGUGUAGCAGUGAAAUGCGUAGAUAUGUGGAGGAAUACCGAUGGCGAAGGCAGCCCCCUGGGCUAACACUGACGCUCAUGCACGAAAGCGUGGGGAGCAAACAGG